AGAGUUUGAUCCUGGCUCAGAUUGAACGCUGGCGGAAUGCUUUACACAUGCAAGUCGAACGGCAGCACGGGAGCUUGCUCCUGGUGGCGAGUGGCGAACGGGUGAGUAACACAUCGGAACGUACCCAGACGUGGGGGAUAACACAUCGAAAGAUGUGCUAAUACCGCAUACGACCUGAGGGUGAAAGGGGGGGAUCGCAAGACCUCUCGCGUUUGGAGCGGCCGAUGUCGGAUUAGCUAGUUGGUGGGGUAAAGGCUCACCAAGGCGACGAUCCGUAGCUGGUCUGAGAGGAUGAUCAGCCACACUGGAACUGAGACACGGUCCAGACUCCUACGGGAGGCAGCAGUGGGGAAUUUUGGACAAUGGGGGCAACCCUGAUCCAGCCAUUCCGCGUGAGUGAAGAAGGCCUUCGGGUUGUAAAGCUCUUUCGGCAGGAACGAAACGGUGCGGGCCAAUACCCUGCAUCAAUGACGGUACCUGAAGAAGAAGCACCGGCUAACUACGUGCCAGCAGCCGCGGUAAUACGUAGGGUGCGAGCGUUAAUCGGAAUUACUGGGCGUAAAGCGUGCGCAGGCGGUUAUGUAAGACAGGUGUGAAAUCCCCGGGCUUAACCUGGGAACUGCGCUUGUGACCGCAUAACUCGAGUGUGGCAGAGGGGGGUGGAAUUCCACGUGUAGCAGUGAAAUGCGUAGAGAUGUGGAGGAACACCGAUGGCGAAGGCAGCCCCCUGGGAUGACACUGACGCUCAUGCACGAAAGCGUGGGGAGCAAACAGGAUUAGAUACCCUGGUAGUCCACGCCCUAAACGAUGUCAACUGGUUGUUGGGAGAGCAAUCUUUCAGUAACGAAGCUAACGCGUGAAGUUGACCGCCUGGGGAGUACGGCCGCAAGGUUGAAACU
rnacentral:rRNA from 1 species